rnacentral:tRNA from 1 species
GGGGGUGUAACUCAGCGGUAGAGUGUCUGCUUCGCAUCCUGAAAGUCCUGGGUUCAUAUCCCCGCACCACCA